UACAGAGGGUGCAAGCGUUGUUCGGAAUUAUUGGGCGUAAAGGGCGCGUAGGCGGUGCGGUAAGUCUGUAGUGAAAUCUCUGGGCUCAACUCAGAGUCUGCUGCAGAAACUGCCGUGCUUGAGUGUGGGAGAGGUGAGUGGAAUUCCAGGUGUAGCGGUGAAAUGCGUAGAUAUCUGGAGGAACACCGGUGGCGAAGGCGGCAUCCUGGACCAACACUGACACUGAGGAGCGAAAGCCAGGGGAGCAAACGGG
rnacentral:rRNA from 1 species